rnacentral:pre_miRNA from 1 species
GAGCGCGCCCGGAGCGCNGUCAUCAAUAACAAAGUGGUAUAACUCAUCAAUAUCUAUAACUUUUAUUUUGGUCAUUUCUUCAUACAACAAAGUUAUUUGUAACAUUGUUCACAAAAUGUACAUCUCUUAUAUAGUUUUAUAAACUUUAGAGAGAGAUAUGUAAAUUUUGUAAAAAUGUUACGAUCACUUUGUCGGAUGAAGAAAUGACCAAAAUAGAAGUUAUAGAUCUUGAUGAGUUAUACAACUUUGUUGUUGAUGACUUUUUCAGCUGAAAUC